GUGCAGUGAUACCUUCGUCAACACAUCAGUCUGGAGAAAAGCGUGUGGUGACUUCCUGCGACUCAGCACA